AGUGCCUUCAGCUUUGUCUAUAGAAGAAAAAAGAUUGCUAGAGUCUUUGGACCGGCUUAAUGAGAAGUUAAAAAUUUCGGAGUUCCCCGGUUCAUUACCCCCUCAGCCUGCCAUGUCACAGGCUCCUCCUCCUCCACCUCACCACUUUUCCUAUACAAAUGGAUUCAAAGGCUCCAAACCCAUACUAUCACAACAGAGAGGGAAUACACGUGGCGGGUCAGCAGCCGUUCUGCGUCCAACAAAUAUACGUUUCUAAUGUAUUGAGCUGUAGCCAUGCUAUGCCUCACGGAAUUUGUUUAGAAAGUAUUAGUCAUGCUAUGCCAACCAAAACUAGGCUUCUAGUGGAUGAAGUUAUAUAUGCUGCUUGCUACUCUAAAAGGAUGUAUCUGUCUACAAUGUAUAUACACCCAAAUUAUGUACCUCUGUGAUGGUAUGUCCGACAAAUAGACACAGAAGGCGUGCUGUACCCAACAAAUAUGCACUUCUUAGUUAGAGGGUAUGGUACAGCCUACUAACAUACUCCUCUGUCAAAUGUAGAAGCAGUUGAAUGUAUGUGGCCAUGCUCUGCUCACAAAUGUACGUUUCUGAUGAAGAAGGUAUGCGGGCAUGCUACAUUCAACAAAUACAUUCCUACGUAAAAUACUAGAAUGUGUAAGCCAAGUCAAGAUAUGCCUCCACUAUCAAACUUCUUAAAUGAUGCUGUCCCGCUUUAUAUUGUGGACCCAGAGUGGAAGCAUAAUGGUAUUGAGUGAAUUAACCCUUUCACCCC